GACGAACGCUGGCGGCGUGCUUAACACAUGCAAGUCGAACGGAAAGGCUCUGCUUUUGUGGGGUGCUCGAGUGGCGAACGGGUGAGUAACACGUGAGUAACCUGACCUUGACUUUGGGAUAACUUCAGGAAACUGGGGCUAAUACCGGAUAGGAGCUCCUGCUGCAUGGUGGGGGUUGGAAAGUUUCGGCGGUUGGGGAUGGACUCGCGGCUUAUCAGCUUGUUGGUGGGGUAGUGGCUUACCAAGGCUUUGACGGGUAGCCGGCCUGAGAGGGUGACCGGCCACAUUGGGACUGAGAUACGGCCCAGACUCCUACGGGAGGCAGCAGUGGGGAAUAUUGCACAAUGGGCGGAAGCCUGAUGCAGCAACGCCGCGUGCGGGAUGACGGCCUUCGGGUUGUAAACCGCUUUCGCCUGUGACGAAGCGUGAGUGACGGUAAUGGGUAAAGAAGCACCGGCUAACUACGUG
rnacentral:rRNA from 1 species